rnacentral:lncRNA from 1 species
CCGGUUGGACGCGCCCUCCCGGCCUGCUGGCUGCUGGCUCUGCAGUUUUCCAAAUGCGGACGGAGCCGCGAGCCAGGAGCAAACUCCAAAGCACCCCCGUAGGAAGCACGCGGCCGCGGCUCCCACCCACCGGCAGGCACACCCCCACCGCGGCGGCCGGCAAGUUUGUGGGGCCGUCCGGCGGCUGGGCAGGACUCACCGCGGAGCCCCUCCGGCCGGGCUGGCGACAGCGGCGGCAGCGGGCGCAGGGUCGCGGCUCCCGCACGAGCAUUUCCGGGCAUUCCAGAAGCUUCUGUGCGGAUUACGUGUUGGUCUCUAAAGCAUCACUAAGAGCCUCCGUCCACGAGUGAGGACGCGACCCGGUGUCCUGGGUCCUCUCUCCCCCAGAGGCUUCCCCCGGCGGUCGGGGGGCACCAGCCACUCCCCCGCGGGCCAGAGAGAAGACAAGGUGCGGAGCUCACGUCCAGGAGGAGAAGGCGCUGGUCGCAGCGCCCCAGCCGUGCUGCUGGUGGGAGCGGGUGGCGGUCAGCAGGGUGGCCGUUUUGACUUGAAGUCCCCGGGGUCAUUUCAGUAGCCUGACCCCGACCUGUUCCCCCACAACCUCCCUGGUGCCAGGUCCCGUCGGGGCGACCCCUUCCGACACAGCCCCUGGAAGCCCAGGCCCCGCCUGCAGGGUCACCGAGCGCCCGGCCCGGCUGCAGGGGCGGCCCUGACACCCUGCGCCCCCCUCGGCUCCCUGCGGCGUCUCCUGCCGAGGCCGGGUCCCCGGGGGGGGGGGGCAGAGUCAGGUGACGGGACAGCCCCCUCCCCAGCCCGCGGGCUCCCGGGGCACCCGGACUCUGGAGCAGAGGCGGGAGGAACCCUGGCAGGUGGGGAGGAAGGCGGCGGCACCCACGGGCGUGGCCACCGCCACUGAGCACCUGCUGUAUCCGGCACCUCCCACUCCGUAGCGUGUGCGUCUCAUGAUCCCGUGGCCUGGCUCGGGCUUCAGGCCUGGAGCCGGGGCCCGGGUGCAGCCCAGCGGCAGGGCCGCCCGCUGACUUCCGACCAGGCCUCCCGGGGCUCCCCGCUGCCCCCGCCCCCCAGCGCCCCUCCAGCCAGACCCUGAGCGCCAGGAGCUGGGAUCACCACCUAGACCAGGCGCUGAUGGGUUGAAAGGCGAAACCUGA